GGGGGCUAGGAUGAAAUUUGAAAAAAAUAGGCAGGACAGGAAUUUUGAUUAAAAAAAAAGGCAGGAUGAGACACUUGCAAAAAAAAAAGUCAGGAUGACAAUUUAGGUAAAAAAAAGUCAGGAUAAACUAAAAAAAAAAAAAAGCAGGACAGAAUAGAGUGAAAAAUAAAAAGGCAGGACAGAGAUUACAACAAAAAAAAAAUGCAGGACAAAAUUUUUCAUCCUAGCCCCCCCAUAAAAAUCAAAUGGUAGCUCCCUUAUUGUA
rnacentral:lncRNA from 1 species